GAUCUAGCCAUCACCACCACAACAACAACGCACACAAGAUGGAGCUCUCCCCCCGCCUGUCAACGACAACAGCCCAAGAGUGUGGUAGUAAUCUGCCUGCUGUACACAGGAAGGAAACAUGGUUGGCUGCCGGAGGAAGCUUCCUGAAAAGAUGGCAGCGUUACUCUACAUGGCUACAAGCACUUCCAUUUAUCAUCCAGUGUGACUCUUCAGUCCAAAAGAGUGACCAUGGGGUUCUUGCUCACCUCCCUGACUAGACUAAGAUGGAUGCAACAAUGCACCGAGACAUCCCGGAUGAAAACCAACGCUUGAGAGGAAUGGGUGAAACUGACUACAGGUGUAAAAGAAAGGCCUUCUCUAUCCUCCUUCAAAACGCACUAAAAGAACACCUCCAGUCAACUUCAAUCCUUGACUAACACCCUCCCCCCUCCACAUCCCACCUCCCCGGAUUGUAAAUAACCAAAUGUAAAUACCGUAUUUUUCGGACUAUAAGUCGCAGUUUUUUUCAUAGUUUGGCCAGGGAUGCGACUUAUACUCAGGAGUGACUUAUGUGUGGAAUUAUUAACACAUUAGCGUAAAAUAUCAAAUAUUAUUUUGCUCAUUCACGUAAGAGACUAGAGACGUAUAAGAUUUCAUGGGAUUUAGCGAUUAGGAGUGACAGAUUGUUUGGUAAACGUAUAGCAUGUUCUAUAUGUUAUAGUUAUUUGAAUGACUCUUACCAUAAUAUGUUACGUUAACAUACCAGGCACGUUCUCAGUUGGUUAUUUAUGCCUCAU